GGUGAAAGAGCUAAGAGGGAAUUCGGUAAUUGAUUAAAAAGCCGAAGCUGCCCCCGCAACUGUAAAUGGUGAGUCAAAACCUUAUGCCACUGGGAUUACCCGGGAAGGUGGUUUUGGCGCUUCAAGCCAUGAGCCAGGAGACCUGCCUUGAAUUGAA
rnacentral:ncRNA from 1 species